rnacentral:rRNA from 1 species
CCCUUAGAUGUUCUGGGCUGCACGCGUGUUACAAUCGGGAGUACAACAAGAUUGCAAAUCCUAGUGGAUGAGUGGUUCUUCGAAAUUUUCUGAAGACUGGGAUAGUUGAUUGAAAUUAUUCAACUCGAACGAGGAAUUCCUUGUAAUUGUAAUUCAUUAUAUUGUAAUGAAUACGUCCCUGCCCUUUGUACACACCGCCCGUCGCUCCUACCGACUGAACGAUCCGGUGAAUUAUUUGGAGUAGCUCUGGAAGUUGCAGAACUUCCUAUGUCACGAAAUUUUGUAAACCUUAUCGUUUAGAGGAAGGAAAAGUCGUAACA